rnacentral:rRNA from 1 species
GAUGAACGCUGGCGGCGUGCCUAAUACAUGCAAGUCGAGCGAACGGACGAGAAGCUUGCUUCUCUGAUGUUAGCGGCGGACGGGUGAGUAACACGUGGAUAACCUACCUAUAAGACUGGGAUAACUUCGGGAAACCGGAGCUAAUACCGGAUAAUAUUUUGAACCGCAUGGUUCAAAAGUGAAAGACGGUCUUGCUGUCACUUAUAGAUGGAUCCGCGCUGCAUUAGCUAGUUGGUAAGGUAACGGCUUACCAAGGCAACGAUGCAUAGCCGACCUGAGAGAGUGGUCGGCCACACUGGAACUGAGACACGGUCCAGACUCCUACGGGAGGCAGCAGUAGGGAAUCUUACGCAAUGGGCGAAAGCCUGACGGAGCAACGCCGCGUGAGUGAUGAAGGUCUUCGGAUCGUAAAACUCUGUUAUUAGGGAAGAACAUAUGUGUAAGUAACUGUGCACAUCUUGACGGUACCGAAUCAGAAAGCCACGGCUAACUACGUG